GAUGAACGCUGGCGGCGUGCCUAAUACAUGCAAGUCGAGCGAACGGACGAGAAGCUUGCUUCUCUGAUGUUAGCGGCGGACGGGUGAGUAACACGUGGAUAACCUACCUAUAAGACUGGGAUAACUUCGGGAAACCGGAGCUAAUACCGGAUAAUAUUUUGAACCGCAUGGUUCAAAAGUGAAAGACGGUCUUGCUGUCACUUAUAGAUGGAUCCGCGCUGCAUUAGCUAGUUGGUAAGGUAACGGCUUACCAAGGCAACGAUGCAUAGCCGACCUGAGAGGGUGAUCGGCCACACUGGAACUGAGACACGGUCCAGACUCCUACGGGAGGCAGCAGUAGGGAAUCUUACGCAAUGGGCGAAAGCCUGACGGAGCAACGCCGCGUGAGUGAUGAAGGUCUUCGGAUCGUAAAACUCUGUUAUUAGGGAAGAACAUAUGUGUAAGUAACUGUGCACAUCUUGACGGUACCUAAUCAGAAAGCCCCGGCUAACUACGUG
rnacentral:rRNA from 1 species